AGAUUGAACGCUGGCGGCAGGCCUAACACAUGCAAGUCGAGCGGCAGCACGGGUACUUGUACCUGGUGGCGAGCGGCGGACGGGUGAGUAAUGCCUAGGAAUCUGCCUGGUAGUGGGGGAUAACGCUCGGAAACGGACGCUAAUACCGCAUACGUCCUACGGGAGAAAGCAGGGGACCUUCGGGCCUUGCGCUAUCAGAUGAGCCUAGGUCGGAUUAGCUAGUUGGUGAGGUAAUGGCUCACCAAGGCGACGAUCCGUAACUGGUCUGAGAGGAUGAUCAGUCACACUGGAACUGAGACACGGUCCAGACUCCUACGGGAGGCAGCAGUGGGGAAUAUUGGACAAUGGGCGAAAGCCUGAUCCAGCCAUGCCGCGUGUGUGAAGAAGGUCUUCGGAUUGUAAAGCAACUUUAAGUGGAAGAAGGCAAGUAAAUUAAUACUUUGCUUGUUUGACGUUACCGACAGAAUAAGCAACCGGCU
rnacentral:rRNA from 1 species